rnacentral:rRNA from 1 species
GAUGAACGCUGGCGGCGUGCUUAACACAUGCAAGUCGAGCGAAGCACUUACCAUUGACUCUUCGGAAGAUUUGGUAAAUGACUGAGCGGCGGACGGGUGAGUAACGCGUGGGUAACCUGCCUCAUACAGGGGAAUAACAGUUAGAAAUGGCUGMUAAUGCCGCAUAAGCGCAUAGUACCGCAUGGUACGGUGUGAAAAACCGAGGUGGUAUGAGAUGGACCCGCGUCUGAUUAGGUAGUUGGUGGGGUAACGGCCUACCAAGCCGACGAUCAGUAGCCGGCCUGAGAGGGUGAACGGCCACAUUGGGACUGAGACACGGCCCAGACUCCUACGGGAGGCAGCAGUGGGGAAUAUUGCACAAUGGGGGAAACCCUGAUGCAGCGACGCCGCGUGAAGGAAGAAGUAUCUCGGUAUGUAAACUUCUAUCAGCAGGGAAGAAAAUGACGGUACCKAYUWARWGCCCGWYU